rnacentral:misc_RNA from 1 species
ACAAAUUACAUAGGUAAAAGUAACAAAGAUCUGUAUUUAAAAUUAAACUGAACUCAGAGGCUAUCAAAGCUGGUAGACAAAUGACCAAAAAAGAACAAGAAAGAUGCCUGCACGACUUAACCCACAAUUUCUGUUUUCCUUACAAUUAGCUAGUUUUGCAAUUCCCAACUUUUUUAUGUCAGAAUUCGUUCCUCAAUGAUCCUUUCAUUAGGAAGACACUGGG